CUGUCUCAGGUAUUGCAAAAGUUGAAAGUGACUCUCUCCUACAACCCUCAGCUGAGAGCAAUGUCGCAACGAGUGUGAGCAAAAAU